GGCGUGCAGACCACGGGGCUUGCUAGCUGGGUCUGCGGGCCUGUCACGACGUAAUUUGCAUGCAAAUUAGCUUGAGCGAGAAAGGAAAAUCUAUACUCUAAAUAUUGUUUUUCUCCAAGUCACCUUAUUUUCUGCACUCCUACUGUGGUUCCGUCCACACAGUCUAAGUAAGGCCUGGAGAGCAUGAAGUAGAAAUGACCAGUUAAAAAAAAAAAAAAAAAAAAGACUGUCCUGGCAAAGCCCAGCGGACUCCAGGCUGGAGGAGAUUCCCGCCGCCCUCCCUGCCCCGCGGCGGGGGCCUCCCGAGUGCGGGGUCCGCGGAGCAGCGCUGGGCGGACGCCAGGGAUACCGCCACGCACCGCUGGCCUCGAGCAGCGCCCCGCACCGCCGGCUCAUCAGACGCCCUCUUUUUCCCUGAAAACUUUCUAGACGUGCUGACCUUGAACCAAGGUUCUUACACAUUCCAGGCAGGUGCCCAACGACUGAACUAUAGCCCUAGCCCUAGGAUGUAUGUCUGACUAUGCAUUGGUGCUUGGAGAAAAAAAAAAAAAAAGAAGUCUGAAAACCACCACGAUUUUUGCCCAGGGCUUUGUCCCUUCUCAGAACCAGUGGAAGAAGAGUGGAUGUGAUGGGGG